GGUCAGCACCAACGUCUUGCCGAAGCAGCAGUCGGUCGCGCAGCUUCUUCCACACGGUGUUGCAGAUCCUGCGCUCACUCAACAUGCUCUCCAGUGAGGCGCUCCGGCCGGCCCACCCUCCGGCAGCACUACAUUGAUGGCGAGUUCUUCAGCGGAUGUGACAUCACUGUCGAAAAAAGAGUCGUCGAGCCUGGGCGGAGGCCGUCGGGCGCUGAGAUCGGACACGUGGAGGCAGAUGCCAUCAGGACGGUCAAAUGCGUCCACACCACAGCUCAGUAUCCCACAAACAAAACUGUAGAUCGAUUCCAUCCUCCAUGAGUUCAACUUCAACUUCAAUCUCGGUCUUAUCCCAAGGCAGCGGCGUCGCCGCCUCCGCCGCCGCCGACAUGACCGACCUAGAGAGCAUAACCCACAUGCUGCAGUGGGUGGUGCCGUUCGCCUCGCCGCCGGCGGUAGAGCAGCUGGGGCGCGCGCUGUGGGGGCUGGGCUCCCUCACCCUUGUGCUGGCCCUCACCACCGUGCUCCACCAGCCGGCCGCCGGACCUGUCUUCGCCCACUACAAGGCCGCAUACUAUACCGUCCUUGCCUUCGUCCUCUUCGUCGCCGUGCCGGUGGAGCUGGGGAUCGCCUUCUGCCUGCCCCGCUGCAGCCACGGGCGCCGGAUCCAUCAUUUUGCCAGGGUUCUCGUCCCCUGCGCUUACCUGCUGCUCCUCGUCGUCAUCUCCGUCGGUGGAUUCGUCCCCUUUAAGCUCUGAACUACCUGCUGCUCCUCGUCGUCAUCUCUGCCGGUGGAUUCGUCCCCUUUAAGCUUUGAUCUACGUGCUGCUCUUCCUCGUCGUCAUCUCCGUCGGUGGAUUCGUCCCCUUUAAGCUCUGAUCUACGUGCUGCAGGGGUUGCUAUUCUUGGAAGUUAGUCUUGUACCUCAAGGAAAUGAAGCCAGUGGUUACGAACUUACGAUCUCUUUGUCGCACACCGUAAUUUGUUAUCUAUGGGGCUGUAGCCAGUGCUGAUUUAAUGCUCAAGCGCAGUCACAAUUUCCAGAUGAUCAGCACCGACGUCUUGCCAAAGCAGCACUCGACGUGUAAGGUCGGCUUCCCGCAGCGCGGCUUCUUCCACACGGUGGUGCAGUUCGUGUGCUCGCUCGAUGUGUCAGGUCGGCUUCCCGCAGCGCGGCUUCUUCCACACGGUGGUGCAGUUCGUGUGCUCGCUCGAUGUGUCAGGUCGGCUUCCCGCAGCGCGGCUUCUUCCACACGGUGGUGCAGUUCCUGUGCUCGCUCGACGUGCUCGUGAGUGAGGCCGAGGCGCUCCGGCAGGGGUUCAAUGAGUACUCCAGCUGGCCCACCUGGCCGCAGCAUUGCAUUGACGAAAAGGAGGAUGACCCCCGGCCUCUGCAUAACAAGUGCUGAUGUAUAGCUCAAGAUCUUGCUGCUCUUGUCUCUUGAAAUUGCAAAAUGAGUUCGGGUUGCUCCAAGCAAAAAUAGUGGUCCCUGAGGAUAUGAGAUGGAAGCAGGAAUAGUUGCGCUUGUCUGACAAGUCACUGAAUCUCUUCCCCAGGCCUAAUUGCAGCGGUCACCUUUUGUCACUAAGCACCACAUGCUACUGCCCAAGUUUUUGAACUGUACGCCUCUGUCUAUCUACUAGACAUGCGUGCCCCUUAUAUUUUGUUGUACUGCUGAUAUUUCAUCAAGAAAAACAUCAAGCUACUGCGUGUUAUGCUCUCACUCUGUGGCCUGCGGGACAAGGAUGUCAAGAAUGCUUUUGGUAACUGUAGUGUCGUUGUCCGUUUAUUCUGACUGCUAUAUUAUACACAAGAGUAACUAUGUUCCUAAAGUUAAAAUGCUGACACCCACACCCUGUUGAUAAAUUUGGUGAUUACAUUCUGAGUUGUCAUUAGCAGUUGGCCAUUGAUUACACAAACCUUAUAUUCUGAAUUGCAGUGUCCUCCUCUGCAGGUGUCUCACAUAAUACGAACAGCAAAAGGUGUACUCUGCUUUCUUGUUUACCGCGGCCACAAUUUCCAAGUGGUCUGCAUUGACGUCUUGCCAAAGCAGCGCUCAACGUUUCUGGUCGGCUACCCGCAGUGUGGCUUCUCCCACAUGGUGGUGCAGGUUCUGUGGUUGCUUGUUGUGCCCUUCGAAACGCUCAAUGUGCUCGCUGACGAGGCGCUCCAGCAGUGGCUCAAGGAGUACUCAAGCUGGCACACCUCCCCGCAGCUCUACAUCGAAUUCGAGUUCUUCAGAGGGUGUGACAUCACAGUUGGUAUGUAAAUAUGAGGUUUGCUCUCUGGCUCUGCCUUCCCUUCUCCCACGAUUAUGGCAGUCUCAAAUGUUUAAUGGUUUAUUUCUUCACAUUCAGUAGGAUUGGAGUGCACAUGGCACUCUGUACCGGUGGAAUAUAUGCUCUCUGCCUUUCCUUCUCCCAUGAUUAUGAUUACGGUUCAAAAUUUGACUCUGCUGUAGUAGUACACGCCGAUGUUCGUUAUGAAUUGUUCCGUGAGAAACCUGUUCUUUGCAUCAGAGCAUACUAAUUCAUUCGA